CGGGCCGAUAAUGAAUAUUGCCCCAAGCUCACUCGUUUCCGCGGCCUAAUUAUUCAUAUCUAUAUUUUCCGAAGCAAUGUUAGAUUCGCUUUUGAACACUGCGAUACUCUAUAUAAAUUGAGAGCGCUCACAAACGGAUUCAUAAUAAAUUCAGCAAGAAAAGGAGAUACUAAAGUUUAAUAAGAACUAGUGGAAAACGAUGUACUUAUUAUAUUUUUGUUUGGUGUUAGCUUUGUCUUCUGCAGGUUGUUCUUCGGAAAGUGGUGACAGUGACCCAAAAGUUAUUCAUGCACCAGGAGCUCAACCUAAAUCUUGUAUUUUGCUCUACUGUAGACAAAGCUGCCACCGGCAAAAUUUCCGCGGCGGUUAUUGCGAUGUGGAUGGACUCUGCAAAUGUAAAGAUCAAAUCGUCCCCCCUCAUUGACCACUAGUAUCGUAUACUGUUCAUAACAACAAAAGUAAAUAAUGUAGGCCCGAAAUUGUUUGAGUUAUAACGUGGAAGGUGUCUCAAUUAACUUAACGCGAAAAGUUGCUUAGUUUAUUAUAUCUGCUGCGAAUAAAUAUAUUUAUGAAGUUAA